UACGGAGGAUGCGAGCGUUAUCCGGAUUUAUUGGGUUUAAAGGGUGCGUAGGCGGCCGAGUAAGUCAGCGGUGAAAUUUUGCAGCUUAACUGUAACAGUGCCGUCGAUACUGCAUGGCUAGGAUUUGGUUGCUGUGGGUGGAAUGUGUGGUGUAGCGGUGAAAUGCUUAGAUGUCACACAGAAUAUCAAUUGCGAAGGCAGCUCACAAAGCCAAGAUUGACGCUGAGGCACGAAAGUGUGGGGAU
rnacentral:rRNA from 1 species